ACAACAACAUUCGGACCGUCGGUCUACCGAGCAAUAUCACCCACCCGCUCGGUGGAAGAUCUUCCCUUCGUCGUAUACA
rnacentral:pre_miRNA from 1 species